rnacentral:rRNA from 1 species
UACGUAGGGUGCAAGCGUUGUCCGGAAUUAUUGGGCGUAAAGAGCUCGUAGGCGGUUUGUCGCGUCGGCUGUGAAAACUCGGGGCUCAACCCCGAGCCUGCAGUCGAUACGGGCAGACUAGAGUGCUGUAGGGGAGACUGGAAUUCCUGGUGUAGCGGUGGAAUGCGCAGAUAUCAGGAGGAACACCUGCGGCGAAGGCGGGUUGCUGGGCUGAUACUGACGCUGGAGGCGCGAAAGCUAGGGGAGCGAACGGG